GCCGCCCGGGGCCGCCCCGCAUGGGCAGGCGGGGGCCGAACCGUGCGCGGGCGGGGCCUCCCCGGGGCGAGGGACGCGCCCCCGGCGGGCGGGGAGCGGGACGGAGAGCGGGGCUCCGGCCUCCCCCGUGCGAGGGGCAGGCUGGGGUAGCGGGGUCCGCGCCUUGAGGGAGCCCCGGGGCAAAGUCUCCUGCGGGGCGAGGACGGGAAAAUGCCGGAGGAGCCCGGGAGAGCCUGCCCCGACAGCCAGAGUCUGGGGAGGCACAGGGGUCCCUGUCCCAGGAGGCGAGGCAGCCACGGUGGUGCUGGCAUUGUGUCUGUAUAACGCAGCUUCAGGAAAAGAGGGUAAUACACAAGUAACGGUAACAUACAGUAACAGUAAAGUACUAACCUCAACAGAGAGGCUGGUUCUAGGCACUGGGGGAGCCGGGGCUGUCAUUCCCCUCCACAGCCUGUGCUGACACUGCAGGGGCUCAGAAACCCACUCCAACCCACAGCAUCCACUGCGGUUCUCACAAGGUGUUUUUGUAACACAUCCCUGCAGGGAUGUGCCACGCUGCAAACAGGGCCCUUGCACGACAUCUUUAAGCCAGUGUUUGCCUUGCACCACUAGAUCUCGGUAUGGUUUUCAGUUCAGAAGGUAAUUUUUUGGUCAUGUAGCCUCUGCCAAGCGCUGUGAGCUGAUGCCCUGAAUGGCAGUGAGGUACAGAGGGCUUCUCUGCAGGCAUUACCUCUGCAUAAUCACAGCCAAGAGACUUUCCACUCUCUCUGGUAUUUGUCAUUUCAGACUUCCGCACAAGCAGAAGAGCUAAAGAAGCUCAGACUGAAUUCAAGGCCUUGCACAGAGCACGCAGUGUUACACAGCUGCGUGAUUUGGGGAAGGUGACGUGCUGGUUGCGUACAGGGAGUUCUGGGACUCUGGAAGACAGAGUCACUGAACUGUUCAGAGCAAAGUCACCCCCAGUCAAACCCACCCCAGCUCAGCUGACACCUUUUUAUCUGUGCCAUGCCAGAGAGCUCGUGUGUCACACACAAAUCCUUGGAACGAGCUACAGGAACCUCAGGGACAGGGAACUGGAGGAGCAGUUGCUCUGUUACUUGUGUGAAGGAUCGUUAGAAAUGGUGGUGAAAAGGUUUGGAUACUGAGCAGGGAGCUUGUUAGCUGCAUAAAUUAUAAACUGGAACACGUUCAGGUGCUUCAUUUUCUACCACUUAGCCAAGACUUCUGCUCUGAGAACUCCUUGGGAAUGGAGAUUAUUUUUAGACUGGUCAGUCUGCCAGAGUCUGGUGAACAGGCUGCAUCUCAACACGAAAUAUUGAGUCUGCUGCACCACACACCUAUUUUCAGAGUCAUUAUUCAGACUUAGAACUGUGCAAUAAGAUUUUUUCAGUUUCUUGGCCAGAAUAGGGGUAGGAGCUGUGUACAGCCCUCGGUUCCCUGCCAUACUGUUCACCCUCCAGAGCACCUGCACGUAGCACCAACAUGCUGGAGAUCAAGGCUCACAGAAUACUGGGGCAGGUGCCUGAGUUCAUGUCAAACUCCUUCUGUGCAAAGAAAUCUGAAAUGUUGAGGGAGUGGGGAAGAGGAGCGUGAGUGGGGCUCCGCACAGGUAUGGUCUGUGAAGUCUUUGUGCGUCCAAGUGGUUGCAUGUCCCUGCUAUGAGAAAUCACAGAGAAGAGUUCAGUAGGUUGCAAGAUCAGCAGCGUGAGUUCACUUUGUGCCUUUAUUUAUGGUUCAAUUGAUCCAUUGGUCCUAUCUGGACUUCAAAUAUCUUUUCGUGAGCCUCCUGGAAUGUUCUUUCCUUAAGUUUCUCUCCAGUUUGCUGACCCCACACAACCAAAAAGAUUUUUCAAUCUGGUCAUGUCAUGUGUCAUUUGAUUGCAUUAUUCUUGGCUCUAGGCUAGUGCUUCUAGCACUGUAUUCUCACUGGGCUGCCUCACCUCAAAGGCUGUUUUUCCUCCCUGUACUUAUCAGCUUUUUGGAAACAGGAAGAACACAGAAAAAAUGCAGUAGUUUUUGCAGUUUAUUUCUUAGUUAUUUAGAAAAGGUCUCAGCCUGUGUGUCUAGUUCAAACAUUCCAGCCAUUCUGUGUAUGCCAGCUUCAUUUUAUUCUAGAAAUCACAAGCUCUGACCCAUUUCUAGAUAGCCCCUGUCAGGAAUUGAGGAAAUGGGAUCAGAACAGCACACUGUAACGCCUUCUCCAUACUCAGGUGACAGGGGGUGGACACUGAACAGACCUUGCACCAAGGCAGACGAAACGCUUGCACAAUCCAUUGGGUUUUGGCAGGCAGCUCUUGGGGCUCCCAAUCUAGGAGCUGGAGCCAGCCAAGGGCAAAUGACACAAAUGAACAAAAUGGGGGAGGUGGAGGGACAACAGAAGGCAAAGUACAAGGACAAGAUGCCUCACCUCCGCUAUUUAGAGUGAAAAAACAGCAAGGCAGAUUUGUCCGUUGUGCAGCUCUGUUGCCAUCCGAGGAGCUCCUCUGGGAGGUGUUUUGUGCUGCGUGCACAGAAGGGCCCAAAAUGCCUCUGGUGACGGCACACACAGCUUCACCGGGUGAGUGAACCUGCUUAGGGCAGACAGAGACUAUGGGAGAAGCAAUGUAAAAUCUGGUCCUGUCACCAUGACUGUGCAGGACCGAGGCCGUAGCCGAGCUGUGUGUUUACCCUUUGUAACAAUGAGCUCUGGAUGUAGUUCCAACUUGUUUCGGAAGACAGCUGUCCUUGCAAGAGCACACAACGGGUGACAUUUAAGGAACUUGUGCCUUGUUCAAACAAAGAGUAUUGGCUCAAGACUCUCUUACGUGGAGCUCUUGUGUUGCAAGUAUCAUAAAUAAGAGAAAAGAGCCUUUAUUUGCUUUGGCUCAUGCAACAGUUUUGCAUGCACAGCAGCCCUAUAUUGAGGUUUUGCAGGGAGAUGAGAAUCAAGGAGGGGCUCUACUAGCAAGACCUGUUUGAGGUCUGUCAGGUUUAGUGUUCAAUAGCUCAGGCUUGCCCUUGGUUUUGAUGGCUUCUCUGCUCUGCUUCUACUGGAACCGAAGCUGCGUGCGGAAUUUAUUGUGCUGACUUAGCACUGCUGGCGAGCUGCUACAGCAGAGCUGCAGUGCAGCGUCUGCAGGGGUUGCUGCUCGGGCACCAGCCCUGCGAGCACACUCGGGGCCAGAAGAAAGCUGCUGUCACCAAUUUUGCUGGCUGGACUGCAAUAGACCAUCCUCAACAGACUUAACAAUUAAAAUCAGGUAAGAAGACAAAUAUCUGCUGCCUGUGUCAACACCGAAACUGCAAGAGUUUUGGGGCGUGUUCUUUCACUGCUAAUGUUUAGGAUUUCGUGCAGGUUGGAAAGGCGGAAAGUAAAAGGGACCGGUCUGCUUGAGCUCAGCCUGCAGGGACGUGUGUUGCAAGCUGUGGUUCAUGGUGCCCUUUGCAACUGAAGGGCAGGUUUAUUCAGGAAACAAAUGCAGAAGCGGCAGCUGGCUCAUUCCCCAAAAACAGUAAGGUCCAGCUGAAAGGACGUCCGAGACUGGUUUGAGCAGCUCCUUUUACCUUUCUGAGGAUGGUAAUAACUCGACUUGUGUUAAGCUGACACCCAGCACUAAGCAGCCGGCUCUGGGGAUGGUGUCACCAGCCAGCAGAGACAAACGGACUUCCAGUUACAACCAGAGCUUUACAAGGAGGAAAAAACAGUUCUGCAAACUGGAACCCUCCUCAUGACUUGUACCUGGAAAUGGGAGGUCACAGUGACAGGAAGGCAGUAGGGGGACAAGGAAGGAGGGUGUGAAGGGCAAUGCACAGGUGUGGAGGAAGAAUCCAUGGCCGCUUCAUUCCAAAACCUGAUUACAAACCCAGACAGAGCUACAACAAGUGGUAAGUGUAAUCAUUAACUUUACUGGAGAAUCAGAUGUGACAGGACAACAGUGGGACAUUGACUGCAUUUGGGACAUCACACAGUUCCCUCUGCCCCAGCACUGGCCCAGCCAUGGCAGCUCUUGUCAAGCCCGGCUUGAAGGGAUUCCAUCAGCUGACAAAGCUGCUCGGGGACAGGCCAAGAGCACCAACCCAGUUUGCAGAAGGAGAUCGUGGGGUUGGCAGCAGCUUCAUCUGGAAAAGCAGCUUUUCUCAGCUGCCAAGGCUGUUCUUUGUAAAGUAUGGCAUGAGUGUAUGGCUGAGGUUAUCUAUUAAUGGGACCAACCCCAUUCUUCCCAGAAGCUGGAGGUCUCACGUGGGUACCCGCACAGUGCCCUGCUCCACGGUGCUGUGUCUCUUUGCUCGCACAGCUGAGGCAGCAGCCGGCAGUGGCCAAGUGCUCCCAGAGCCCUGGCAGCGUCCCCACCAAGGGCUGGGUCACAACCCAUCCCUCUGCUGAAAAAGCAAGAAUCUUCCAGCUGAGCUUGUUGCAAAGUGAAAGCCAUUUUCAAUUAUUUUUCUUGUUUCAGACAAAUCUGCUCUGUCAUACCCUCAGUUGCCCCUUCUUGUAGUGCUGUGACCUGGAAAACUCAAACCAGGGAUGGAAAGGGCAGCUCUGACUGGCCCCAGUUCACAUAUGGACCAAAUCGCCUCUGUCCUCAAGCAGAUCUAGUGAUGCUGGAGCAAGAAAGAAAAGCCUAUAGGGCUGCAGCUCAGAAACCUGUAGUGGCCAAGAGGGGAAAGCAGCUCACUACAGUCUAAGAUGUAGGUUUUUUCCCUUCUGAGUUGUGGAAAGGCUGUGAUUUAAGUGCAUUUUGUGAAGUGGUGCUUCUCUAUGAUUUUUGGAAGAAAUGCUGAAAUACUACAAAAAGCCUACACGAAAUCAUCCAUUUUACUUGAGUAUAACCCACUAAUUCUAGCUGACCGGGAUUAGCAACACUUGCUUCGUAUACUCCCGCAUCUCGGGUGCCAUCUGAUCAGCAGUCAAGUUCUUGACAUUCAAGAUCGCUUGAUGGGCUUCCUGGAAGAGCUGCUUCCCCACUGCUUCUUCCACCCGCUUGCGCCACGCUGCCAACUUGGGCCUCUCCUCGAAGAUGUUGUGGCCGGCGCCCACGAGCUGCAGGGAGAGCAAGAGAACCCGGGAGUGAGUCAAACAACACAUUGGCCAGUGAUGGGAGCAGACUGAAGCGUGGAUAUGCGUUUGGCUCUAGGCAGCAGACAGUCACGUUAGGUGGAGUUCAUCUCCAGUUUUUAGCUCGUAGGAAGCAAGUGGUGUCACCCUCGCAGCUGCUGGCCCUGGGGACGUGCAGCGGAAGAGCUCUGCAGUGGCUAACCCGUUAAUUGCCUAAAGCAGAACACGGAGGUCCAUGCACACCAGCACAUCUCUUCCAAAUAUCUGUACUUUCUCUGCCUAGUUUGUAAUUUAUCUUUUUUUCUGAGGACCUUUGUCCACGCUGUCUCACCAAAGUAGGUGUUCCCUGGCAACCUCAAUUAUAGUUAAACCCAAAAAGGAACAAAAUUUAACUCUGCUAAAGACUUAAGUGCAGGGACAAAGACCUGCCAUGAAAGGUUGCUGGUGCAGCAGUCACCACUGCGCCUGGUCUGUCCCCAGCCCAGCGUCCACAUCCCACAGGCUGGGGUCAUUGCUCACCUGCAUGAGCUCCACCACUGCUACGAGAUCUGCCAGGGAGACCUCUUUGCCUGCAAUGAAGGGCUUGUCCUGCAAGAACUUCUCCUCAAACUGGUUCAGGACAACAUUCAGCUCUUCAAUAGCACCUUGCAGCUUCUCUGGAGGGAGUGGCUCGCCGGUGAUGAGAGGCAGAAACACCUGGCAGGGAGAAGGAAAAGUUGCUUUUUACAUGUUUCCCUCCAGACUUAGUCUGUUCCCUGUCACUGCCACCCUCUGAGGAUCCCUCACCCGCCAUGCCCAAGAACAACUGGUGCUGCUAAUCUGCGUUGGCAUUUUAACAUUAAUGUCAGUCUUCUUCAUGCCUGCCCUUGUCUAUUCCCUAGAAAGUCUGAAAUUUCAGCCACAGGAGUCUCCUUUCCAGGGAAGGCUGAACCAUCAGCAAGCAACUGCAUUUUGUUUUCCAGUGAGAGGUUCUUUUUUCCCAUGAAGCUGGGCAGAAGGCAGUGAGCUGUGUCUGGUGUUGGCUGCUCACCCGGGACAAAUCUGCUCUGGCUCGCGGUGCAUGCAGAGCUGUGGCUGCAGCAUGAGGUACUCGGGACACUUCAGUUAGGCUUGGCUGAGCAGCCAAGUCAGUUCCAGAUCUAGUUUUGCUCCUGUCUGUCACUUGGCUUGUACAUGUGUGCCCUGCACACACAGGAGGUCCUUCCUGGGCCAUUGCACUCACAGCUCUUAGCACUUAGUUUUUAGUAUAUGAUGCUCUUACCUUCAGAAGGAACACCUUUCUCUCCUUCUCACGAAUCCUGGUGUGCUGCCAGGCCAGGUACUCAUCAACUCUGGCCCUUUGCUGCAGGUCAGACGGGUACCAGUGAUCAGGAGUCUUGAAUUUCCGCACCAGGUACAGGAGGAUUGCAAUGCUGCCCAGAGAGCAAGGCAAAUUGGUGAGCUGUCACCCGAGAUUGAAGCACCUCAUCCUUUCUUCCUCCCCCAGAUUUUGCACUGCUGGACCAGCAGCAGCACAAACCUGAUCUGAGUUGGGCAGAAGUGCAGGACACAUAACUGCAGCGAGGCACAUGAGUUUGUGCUGGCUUGACCAGCGGCUUGUGGACAGCAUUGUCUGAUAUUAAUACAUCAGCCCAGCGAGACAGAUAUGGGCUGCUGGUACAGUUAUUCCAUCAACAUUUUUGAGCAACUAUGAGCCACAGGCUGAGUUUGUACCAAGUCUGAGCUUUGUAUUGCCCGACCAUCCAGCAGCAUCAGAUUUACUGCACUGAACUCCAGCCUCCAGCUGCAGGCAGAGAGCAGGAGAACACCAGGACAGGUAUUUUGGCUUAGAAACAUUGCUUACAUGCAAGCUAGCUCCAAGCAGCAGCUUAUAGAUUUUUCCACGAUCAGUGCUGUUUGAGUGGCUUACAUGGAAAGCUGCUUUUGAAACACAGGUCUAUGUUAUGUGCAAGUGGAGCAGAUAGGAAGGAGUCAAAUAAUAGUCACUACCAGGGCUGGAGUCCCAGCAGAGAGCAAACAGCUCACUGGCAGAAUCCGAGCGUUAGGAAAAACAACACUGCAGUAGGGGUUGGAGCUUAUGUGAGCCUCACCUCUCUGCUAAGGUGAAAGAACCGUCCUUUAACGCAGGCACCUGCAUCAGGAGAUUCACCUUCCGGAACUCCUCCAACCUGUGCUGCCCUGCGGAGGGACACAAGAAGUUGUGCUUGGCAGUGAUGCUCAGGACCUGUCUGCAAACACCUGAGGAGUCUGUGGGGACCACCCGGCCUCACGUUCCCGGUUUUGAUUGUACAAAUACAGUCUUGUUAAAGUCUAUUAGCAAUCAAAAGUGCUGCAGGGUGCAUAUAGGGUUUGCUCUACGAUGUUGCUUACUUGCUUAUUGCCUGCAUACCAGAACCGCCUCUCAACAGAGGUCAGAAUGGUGAAAAGUCCUUUAAUACCAACAGCACUUGCUAACUCAGGGCUUUAUCAGCAAUAAGUUUGUGCCUGGAGGUACCUGUCUGGUACGCACACGGAACACCAAGCUCCUCGGAGGACAGGGAGCUGGGUAUCGGAAAUGUGAACCACAAGGACUGGGAGAAAGCAAGGGAUAUUUGGGUUUUUUUGCUGGGACAUAAUGUAGCUUAUACUAAACUCUUCUUUUAGUCCUCAGAUGAUUUUAGUGAUUCCAUAUAAAGCCAUGGGUACUUUAUUAUAGAUCUAUCAAUCAGCUUUUUAUGCAAGUUUUGCAUAUCCUUUAUCACAGCAAAUAUGGAUUUGAGUUUGCUUUUAGGCUGUCUUCCAGCACUUGGCAAACAUGGUUAGUGACUCUUCCCCAGUCCCUUGGCUCACAGCCUGUCUCCCCCAGCCCUCUCAGAACGACUCUGGGAUUCCCUGCACAUGGUGUGCACAUUCCAGGUCCUUGGGUGUCCCUGUGAUUUCCACCCAUUCUCACUCUUUCCACCCAUUUCCUGGAGACUUACCCUGCCAGUAGCCCAAGAGCUUCUCUGGAGGGGGCACAUUUAACUCGCCAGCUCAGAUCCAAGCACAUUUUCUCUCACCUGGUCCUUACACACCACGCAGUGAUGGGUCCUGGGGCCGUAUCCACGGGUGUGUGCUCAUUUGGGGGCGGCGUGCCCGUACCCACCUGCCGAGCAGCUGGAUGCCAAGCUGACCCAGCUGCAGGAACCCCCAGUGUGUCCCCAUGGCGGGGUGAGCACACACUGCAGGAAUGGGACGUACCUCUAGCAUUCCCAUGAGCCAAAUUACACACCUUAAUUCCCCUGACCAAAACAAGCACUGAUGCCACAGGACGCGGAUCUCUGGGAAACUGUGAUUUCAUUAACCUUCCUUCCUCUCAGUUCCCUGAUACUAUUAUUUCAGUUGUUCCAUUCUGCUUGCCUGCUGGUCUCCUCUCUUUGCACAAGUCUCACCACAAGUGUUUAUUUAUUGGGAAAGAAGGGGAAGGACACUAGACGAGCCUGUCCCCAGCUACAAACAGUAGCAACAGCUUUUCCUACCAAGACAGGUCAUAAGAAAGCCAUAGUAAGGUGCAACAAUACACAGCUACGGUGUGCAGGGGAACACCCAGAGACAGAACCACAACACGCCUCAGGUUUCUUUGAGUCACAGGCUGGAGCCUUUUUCAUUCCUUUAUUGGUUUUAGCCCCAGGAGCCUUCUCACCUUUCAUUGUUUUUAAGUACUAUGUACUGUUUCUGUGCCCAGUUCACCUUGAUUUCAAACCCAGCAGAGCUCUGGAAAUGCUGAAGGAUAACUUUUACCAGCUUCAGUUACACAGAAAGAAGAUACAGAUCUUUGGGUAUCCUUUGAUGAAAACACACACUUCCCCUCAGGCAGGCUCCUACCAAUUAGCAGUUGGUUUUAAUACAGACCAAACCACCUUCCCUUCUCCACUUUUCAGUGUUCGGAUCCCUGUCAUCCCUGUUAAUCCCUGCUAAGAGGAGAAAAGCUGCUCUGCAGCAAGCGCUGCUGCUUACCGAAGUGCGAAGUUUUCUAAGGAAGUUGAAUUAGAGAGCACAAACGGCACAGCUCUGCUGUCCUUACCCACACAUGAAUGUCCCACCUCUGCUGCUUUUUGUCUCCCAUGUAAACACGGAAUAGCCUCAGAUCUAUCCCAUCCUGAGUGCUUCUCUGAAAAGUGGUCCUUUUUUUGGAGACCCUUUUUCCACUGGGGUGGGGCUGAUAUAAAAGUCAUUCCAAACCUUUGAAGAGUCACAUUUGUUGCAGAGGACUUUGUCUCACAUUUGUCUCAGAGCACUGAGACUACUAGUCAAAAAUCAGGGUUUCCUUAGGAAAUUAGGUCCUGUUUUCACCUUAACAUCAAGAGCCCUCUACAGCUGCAGGGCCACUCCAUCCUCUUGCAGCAUCUCACACCCAUGGGGCCAAUUGAGUCACCGGGUUCCACCUGUGGCUCUGUGAGGGGAGCCCAGGGUCCCCACAGAUCUGUGCACAGCGACGAGGGGAGCAGCUGGGGGUCCCCGGGGUGCAGAGAACCCCCCAGCCCCACCAUCCCUCAGCCCCACUCACCCUUCAUCAGGUCCACGCGCUUGAACUCGAAGGGGAUGUUGUUGCUGCGGGCGAAGAUGUAGAGCGCCCGGCAGGGCUGCGAGAGCAGGUCCAGGUACAGCUCCAGCCCCAUCCUGCUGCUGCCGCUUGCUCCGCUCCGCUCCCGCUCCGGACACCGGCCCCGCGGUCUUGUAGCAGCACCGGCCCUUCCCGCGGGGCGGAGCCGCCGCCCCGGGGCUGCCCCACCGCGCUACCGGCCCGGCCCCACCGCGGGCCUUUGCCCAAGGGACCCGCAGCCGGGAGCGGGAGGGCUCCGGCCAGAGGGGAGGGCAGGGCUGUGCCCAGUGGUUUCGAAGAACAGGGGAGAUGCUGGUUCAAAGUUCCAAGCGGGCUCUGCCAGCUCGUGUUUGAACUUUGGCUCGGCUUCACAACUGCCCAGAGAGCUUAAUGAUAAGUGAAGUCAAAGUUAGGCUAAAUCGAUAGAAAUGCAGGUGAGGUAGAUCCGUGCUUGGUUCACGGACACUCGCAGCUCUUGCGUUAGAGAACCUUUGGUUUCUGCUAUUCUGGCACCUGCUCAGGACACACAAAAACUGCCUGAGUCAUGCAAUGGGCAGACACACGCUACCUCACUGCUCUAAAACCACACAUUACUCCCAUCUUUACAAGACGCAACCACCCUUCCUGACACCCAUCCCUCCAACUUGCCCAUAUAAUGUAUUGCUAAUGCUGGUGUAUGUUUAUUUUACUAAGUAUUAAGCCAGAGCUGGACUGUUUCCUGCUGAAGAUCUCAGAGGGCAGUUGCAGGCUCCAGCUAUGCUGUAGCUUUAAGCAUUCUGCCAGGGCAGCGGCAUGUGUCAAAUACAGAGUUUUGGCUUGCAGUGAUACUAACCAAGCCCAGUAUAUUCAUCUUCAACAUCAGACAUUUUAGCCUGCAUUAACACCAAUCUAACACUUAACAAUACCUGCUGGUACCGAAAGUUGAAACAACAUAGUCAAGGAAAUAGCAAGAAAAGCACAAAACUAUACAAGUGAAAAAUCCUUUCAACACUAUCUCCAUCCUUGUACCCAAGAAUCUUUAUUAACACAGUUUUAAAAAUAUAUAUAUCAUUUAUUUAAAAGUUGCAAUGACUUUAGCCUAGAGCAGCUCGCCAAACAACCCUGCUGUGGGCACCGUGCAGGUGUUCAUGCAUUUGCAGGUAGAGCUGCUUGUGCAGUCAGACAGAACCAGGAGCUGUCUCACAGCCCACCCCUCUGGAGAGCAGCAGUUCCAUCAGGCCCCCGCUCCAGAGCUGCGUAACAGCUCAAUGGUGGUAGUUUUACACAUGCCAGUACACGAUGCAAGGUCCUCUUUGAGAUAGCUGUAUCUAUCUUUUUUUUUAAGGCAGUUACUGAACUCUGUUCACAUUGUCCUUGAAAGGGGAAGACUACUUCAGAUAUGAUAAGGCUGAGGAGUCGACCAUUCAGGGACCGUGUCUCCUUGCCAUGCUGGGUAGCAGUCCAUCACCGAUCCUGCUCAGCUGCUUCAGCGCCACAAAGCACGACCACCUCAGCUUCCAUUCAUUCAGGCUCGUUUCUGUGCUCGCUCGUUCUGUUCAAAAUUAAAGUUGAGAAGGUGACUGAAGAUGCCCUUGUCUCAGAGUCACAUAGGAGGGACUUCGGGGAAGCAAUGGGACAAUUUAAUAAUCCUUUCUGCUCCAGUUCUCAAACACUGCUAGUCUGCAACUCAAAAUCACCAUUUUUCAAGAGCAGAUAUUUAUCAGGAAUCCUUCAACUGGAGACCAGAACACCUGGCAAAUCAUACAGCACAGUCUAUUAUGGAUCCCUAGUCCACCCAUUUGGCAAGUUAAAUGCUGCCCCUGCUUUUGUCUGAAAGCUCCCAGCCUUCUCACUCGUGUAUAAAGGAGGGCCAGCUAAAAAUGCUUUCCUGGCCUGGAAUACCCAACUUCUAGUCAGCAGGAACUCUGUAAUGACAACAAGUUCCAUUUCUGCAUUUUGUUCAUCUGCCUCUGGGUAGCUGCCAAGAUCCCAGCUCCAAAGGUACCGAGAAAGGCAGAAAAGGAAACACCACGAACCAUAGAACAGAAUCAUAGAAUCAUUUAGGUUGGAAAAGACCCUCAAGAUCGAGUCCAACCGUAAAUCCAGCACUGCCAAGUCCACCACUAAACCAUGUCCUUAAGUGCCACGUUUACACAUCUUUCAAAUACACCCAGGGAUGCUGCCUACCUUUCUUUUAACAGAAAAGAUCCUUCUGCCCUCCCCACCCUUUCUGAGUAAUGAUGCACCCAAAACCACCGCCCACAUACUGAAAUGUAAAUGUCUCAGUAAAAGGAUCCUGGACACUAACACUUGUGCGAGCCAUGACUGGCAAUAAUCUGCAAGCUGUAGCUUGUAAUCUUUACCCCCAUUUCAAUUACCUUGACUGUCUUCUCAAGCUUACACAGAGCUUCCUCAUAUUCCUGCACCAGCGGCUUUAAUGAGUUGCCCUUCACUGGGUGCUUCUUUACGUCUCGGAUGCCGGCAUCCUUCAACAUGCGCAGAAACCUACGUUCCUGCGAAACAAAACCGACACGGGAGAUGAGACACCCCACUGCCCAUCAGCUAGAAAACGAGCACGUUUUGGAAUGUGCUGCCUAGUCAGGAAUCACCUGAAGUCUCCAAGUCCAGAGCUCAGCUGGCUGGGAAAGGUGGGAAGCACUACGAACCUCACCUUCCUUACAGCCCUCCACGCACCCUGAUCAAACAAACCCCCCACCAAGUUCGCACCUGAAUUCUAAGGACCAAGCUGAAAGCGACACCCACUUCUCCUGCACGAGCUGUUCUUCCAACUCUGAAAACACAAAAAGUAGCAUCAGGUCAGUUUAGCCAUCUGGUCGCUGCCGUUAUCACCUCCAAGAGUUCGAUUCUGAAAUUCUCCAGAGUUAAGAAAGUCCGAGUUUUUUAAUGCCAGCACAGCAGGACUGGCCACGUGUCACACAGGAUGAACGUCACCAGGGCUCGUUUAUAGCUGCUGAGCCGCUGCAGUUUUCUGAUAAUCUAGAAACCCAGCACGUGAUGCUGUCCAGGACAGUAUUUCUAGCUCCUGUAAAAUACAGUUUCUAAAAUAGGGUGCUCAUUUUCCAUUUCAAUACUGCAAUACACUGACGAUGCUGCAAACUUAAUUUUUAUUGGAAAGCUAUUUGCAUAUUAAAGUAAAAGACUGCAAAGCUAAAA